GAAUCGCUUGAACCCAGGAGACAGAGAUGGCAGUGAGCCAGAUUGUGCCUCUGCACUCCAGGGCAACAGUGACACAUCAUCUCUAAAUAAAUAAAUAAAUCCACAGAAGGAGGAGGAGUUGUCAGUGGUGCUGCUAGCCACCAGGCACUGCAGGGUAUGGACAAUGGAGAAGUUGAACAUGCUACCAGAGCCUGCCAAAGCAAGAACUCAGAACCUACAGUGUCUCUCCAGCACCCCUUUCUGACAGUUCAUUGUUGUGCCAGCUGGCAAAGGAAAAAUAUUAUCAGAGCCCAGAUUCAUUUUCAUAGAGCAGGCAAAAAGGAUGAAUUUGGAGCUGAGAGACAAUAAGUUGCUAACUGUCACAGUCUAACCUUUUGGCUAUUUGACGUCCACAUGCACCUUUCUAUACACAUUUGAACUCUUGUUCAUGGACAAAACAAUUUUUAUUUUUUGAGACAAGGUCUCUGUUGCUCCCGCUAAAGUGCGGUGGCACAAUCAUAGCUUACUGCAGGCUUUGAACUCCUGGGCUCAAGCGAUCCUCCUGCCUCAGCCUCACAAGUAUC
rnacentral:lncRNA from 1 species